CAGCCGCCGCGGUAAUACGAAGGGUGCAAGCGUUAAUCGGAAUUACUGGGCGUAAAGCGUGCGUAGGCGGUUUGUUAAGUCUGCUGUGAAAUCCCCGGGCUCAACCUGGGAAUGGCAGUGGAUACUGGCAAGCUAGAGUGUGUCAGAGGAUGGUGAAAUUCCCGGUGUAGCGGUGAAAUGCGUAGAGAUCGGGAGGAACAUCAGUGGCGAAGGCGGCCAUCUGGGACAACACUGACGCUGAGGCACGAAAGCGUGGGGAGCAAACAGGAUUAGAUACCCGCGUAGUCCCUGUCUCUUAUAC
rnacentral:rRNA from 1 species